rnacentral:rRNA from 1 species
UACCCGCUGGAACUUAAGCAUAUCAAUAAGCGGAGGAAAAGAAACCAACAGGGAUUGCCCUAGUAACGGCGAGUGAAGCGGCAACAGCUCAAAUUUGAAAUCUGGCGUCUUUGGCGUCCGAGUUGUAAUUUGCAGAGGGCGCUUUGGCAUUGGCAGCGGUCCAAGUUCCUUGGAACAGGACGUCACAGAGGGUGAGAAUCCCGUACGUGGUCGCUAGCCUUUACCGUGUAAAGCCCCUUCGACGAGUCGAGUUGUUUGGGAAUGCAGCUCUAAAUGGGAGGUAAAUUUCUUCUAAAGCUAAAUACUGGCCAGAGACCGAUAGCGCACAAGUAGAGUGAUCGAAAGAUGAAAAGCACUUUGGAAAGAGAGUUAAAAAGCACGUGAAAUUGUUGAAAGGGAAGCGCUUGCAGCCAGACUUGCCUGUAGUUGCUCAUCCGGGUUUUUACCCGGUGCACUCUUCUAUAGGCAGGCCAGCAUCAGUUUGGGCGGUUGGAUAAAGGUCUCUGUCAUGUACCUCCUUUCGGGGAGAUCUUAUAGGGGAGACGACAUGCAACCAGCCUGGACUGAGGUCCGCGCAUCUGCUAGGAUGCUGGCGUAAUGGCUGUAAGCGGCCCGUCUUGAAACACGGACCAAGGAGUCUAACAUCUAUGCGAGUGUUUGGGUGUCAAGCCCGAACGCGUAAUGAAAGUGAACGGAGGUGGGAACCUUUCGGGGUGCACCAUCGACCGAUCCUGAUGUCUUCGGAUGGAUUUGAGUAAGAGCAUAGCUGUUGGGACCCGAAAGAUGGUGAACUAUGCUUGAAUAGGGUGAAGCCAGAGGAAACUCUGGUGGAGGCUCGCAGCGGUUCUGACGUGCAAAUCGAUCGUCAAAUUUGGGCAUAGGGGCGAAAGACUAAUCGA